CAGUACCACGGUAAUACGGAGGGUGCAAGCGUUAAUCGGAAUUACUGGGCGUAAAGCGCACGCAGGCGGUCUGACAAGUCAGAUGUGAAAUCCCCGGGCUUAACCUGGGAACUGCAUUUGAAACUGUCAGGCUGGAGUCUUGUAGAGGGGGGUAGAAUUCCAGGUGUAGCGGUGAAAUGCGUAGAGAUCUGGAGGAAUACCGGUGGCGAAGGCGGCCCCCUGGACAAAGACUGACGCUUAGGUGCGAAAGCGUGGGGAGCAAACAGGAUUAGAUACCCCUGUAGUCCAUGUCUCUUAUACA
rnacentral:rRNA from 1 species